rnacentral:tRNA from 1 species
GGAGAUGUAGCUUAGUGGCAGAGCGCCUGCCUAGCAUGUGCAGGGCCCUGGGUUCAAUCCCCGGUACCACCA